rnacentral:misc_RNA from 1 species
AAAGUCGUAACAAGGUUUCCGUAGGUGAACCUGCGGAAGGAUCAUUACUGAAGAAACAAGGGUUUUGAGACUGCGUCCUUCAUUGGCGUGUGCUCGACCUUUACUCUUUCAUCCAUACACACCUUUGUGCACCAAAGGGACAUUGCGUCCCCCCCUUUUUUCAUAAAUACCGAGUUAUAUGCAUGUAUAUUUUGUAUACUCUACGGAGUUAAUAAAUACAACUUUCAACAACGGAUCUCUUGGCUUUC